GCCCGCUCAGAAACUCAAAGGAAUUGACGGGGACCCGCACAAGCGGUGGAUGAUGUGGAUUAAUUCGAUGCAACGCGAAAACCUUACCUACCCUUGACAUGCCAGGAAUCCUGCAGAGAUGUGGGAGUGCUCGAAAGAGAACCUGGACACAGGUGCUGCAUGGCUGUCGUCAGCUCGGUGUCGUGAGAUGUUGGGUUAAGUCCCGCAACGAGCGCAACCCUUGUCAUUAGUUGCCAUCAUUAAGUUGGGCACUCUAAUGAGACUGCCGGUGACAAACCGGAGGAAGGUGGGGAUGACGUCAAGUCCUCAUGGCCCUUAUGGGUAGGGCUUCACACGUCAUACAAUGGUCGGUACAAAGGGUUGCCAAGCCGCGAGGUGGAGCCAAUCCCAGAAAGCCGAUCGUAGUCCGGAUCGGAGUCUGCAACUCGACUCCGUGAAGUCGGAAUCGCUAGUAAUCGUGGAUCAGCAUGCCACGGUGAAUACGUUCCCGGGUCUU
rnacentral:rRNA from 1 species